GGGUGCCUACGGGGGGCAGCAGUGAGGAAUAUUGGUCAAUGGGCGGGAGUCUGAACCAGCCAAGCCGCGUGAAGGAAGAAGGCGCCAAGCGUCGUAAACUUCUUUUGUCGGGGAACAAAGGGCGCCACGUGUGGCGUUGUGAGCGUACCCGAAGAAAAAGCAUCGGCUAACUCCGUGCCAGCAGCCGCGGUAAUACGGAGGAUGCGAGCGUUAUCCGGAUUUAUUGGGUUUAAAGGGUGCGUAGGCGGUCCGGAAAGUCAGCGGUAAAAGCCCGGGGCUCAACCCCGGCGAGCCGUUGACACUGG
rnacentral:rRNA from 1 species